GUAGUGAUGAAUAGUCCCAACCAGGACGAAACAGCUGUCCACUAC
rnacentral:hammerhead_ribozyme from 1 species